AUCUGUCACGUGGUCGCUCGAAAAUUUCCAAAAACACGACCCCAAUCUGAGAUCAUUGCAACCUCAUAAUGGCUCUGUGAGGUAGACAGGGCUCCUGUUUUCAUUUUAUUGUCACAAAUGAAGAAACUGCAACUCACUAAGGGGAGGCGAUUUGCUGGGGUUUGGCUGGUUGGCAUCAGGUCCAGAACCAGCACCCAUGUCUCCUGACCCUCAGCCGUGGUCUCUGGGGGGAAAGGGAGCAGGCCCUGGGGCUCUCAAGCUUGGGGGGACCUGAGUGGGGCUGACUCUGGGGUGAGGGCCCACCUUCAAGUUUAAGGUUGCUGGGCCCUCCUGCGGUUCUUCUUCUUGCCUUAGAUGCACUGAAGGCAUCUCCUGGAUCCUGCCCAGCUCCCUGUGUGACCCAAGCAUGGGGGGUUGGUAGGGUAUGGUAGGGGGAUAGCCAUGGGGGGUGACCAGAGCCUGGAGAGAAUGAUUUCAGAAAAGAGAGUGGGUGGGAUGGCUGGUGAGAUGCCAAUCAGGGCGGCAGCAUGCCUGCAGAGAAAUGAGGUGUUCCUUCAGUUUCCCUCCCAGGCCUGUGUCCCCCACACGCCCUGUGCCCCCAGGAUCUGCUGGCAGCAGCUCCCCGCCUGAGCAAGCAUGGCCUGGCUCAUGUCCUCUCCAUCUGGACCUACUUCAGUGUUUCCAUGGGACCAGGCAAUGGAGGAGGUCAGCUUGAAUCAAAGGCUUCAGUCUGUACCUCAGAAACUCCACGAGGACAGCAACCACAUUUGCCUUGCUCGAUGCUGUGUCUCCAAGCAGCCAGCGCACUCAAUGUAUUCAAUGAGAAGCAGUCCUACCCCUUCAUUGCCUGGAAUCCAAGGCCAUUGGUUGCCACGAAUAAUUAAGGGCAGACAAGAGUGAGAGAUGGACUUCUGUUUAACCAAGCAUGAUAAUGGCUUUCUCUCACUGCCUUCUCCUGUGCCCCCCUUUGGCAGAGAAAAGAGUGGGCAUAGAUGUGGCAGGGAACUUCCAGUCUCCCCUGUCUCCCCACAGCUGUUGUUAAUUGGGGCAUGUCCA
rnacentral:lncRNA from 1 species